rnacentral:misc_RNA from 1 species
AAGACUAUAGACCUGCGGAGUACCUGCGGAAGGAUCAUUACCGAGUUUUCGAGCUUCGGCUCGACUCUCCCACCCUUUGUGAACGUACCUCUGUUGCUUUGGCGGCUCCGGCCGCCAAAGGACCUUCAAACUCCAGUCAGUAAACGCAGACGUCUGAUAAACAAGUUAAUAAACUAAAACUUUCAACAACGGAUCUCU